ACCGAUAGAGGACAAGUACCGUGAGGGAAAGUUGAAAACAACUUUGAAAAGAGAGUUCAAGAGUACGUGAAACCGUUCAGGGGUAAACGGAAAAGACUUUACACACCGAAAGGGGAGAUUCACGCCCUCUCGCAAGAGACGGCUCCCACGGGGUCAGAUGGCACCGUUCGCCCGCUCGGCGCAAGCCGUUGCGGGGUCGUUUCGGUGGUCACUCGGCGCUCGUGGGGGUUAUGCCGUCCGCGGUGGGCCGCACUUCUCACCCAGUAGGACGCCGCGACCCGUUAGGCGACGGUCGACGGUCCCGGUGGGAGCCCGAGACGGUGUUUUCGGACAUCCGUCUCGGACCCCGGGUAACCUGGCCGAUCGGAAGACGGUAUGAAACGCAGGUGUUGGACCGCCCCAUUUCACUUUGGGCGUCCGGGUCGGUCGAAAGCAAGGUAGGCUGGUUGCGUGCGUUCGGGUGACGGACUUCGGUCCGGCUCUCGGCCCAUCCAGCCGUUGGCGGACCGAUUCCUCGGACGAUUCACACUGGA
rnacentral:rRNA from 1 species